AAUUCAUAGGCUUCAAAAACCUCCAUGUAACCCAUUCUCCAAACGAUGCAAUUUACCAAUACUCAAAAUCAAUCGUUAUCAUCGUCGCAUCCAUUUGAACGGUCUUCCUUUUGCAAUUCGACAUAUCGUUCCAUUCUGCAUCUUUUCAGUCACGCGUAUCGUUUCCUCAAAUAUCUGGAAAUCAAAUCAAAGAAGAACCUAAUUAUGCAAUUAACGAUAUUCAUCAUCUUGUUGACCGAAUUUACAAAUCGGAAUCAAAGAAGAACGGCUCAACUUUUCUUUCUUCCAUUACCUUCUACAGGCAAUAACCCUUAAUCAAUGAAGAAAUUCAACAUGUUGCUUGCACCCGUUUGAAAAAGAAGAGAGCCCAAUUUUCAUGAAGGUCGGUGUUGUACCUGCUUCUGAAUCUUAAAAUAGAAACGUGCAAUUCUCCUAAACCGCCCCAUAUUUUCUAAUGUUCUGAUUCUGGUGUCACUGCAAACCAACAGUUUUUGUUCAAAUUAAAAGUUGAAAAAAGGCAAAAAAAAAUUGUAUCGAUUUAAUUUGGAUUCAGCACUACCCUACAUGAUUUUCAAUUUUCAAUUAAGGGUUAGGGUUUUCAUGGUUGUGUAUAAUAGACUUAUAGGUUGAGUUGUUUUGCUACCAUGAACCUCCAUAACCUGCAUCAAUAAUGUAUGUCAAGACAGACAUACCCACAAACACACAAAGAAGAAAGAUGCUUCUCAGUUGAUCAAGCACAAUCACAAGUUAAGAUGUGAAUUAGAUUUCUGUUUUUAUUAAUGUAAAUGCUAUAAAAUUAAUUCAAUAAAUAUCCGUGUUUCUUUAUUUUCAUUGCAGAGGGAGAGUAACAAAAUUGGAACUAUUGGAUGAUAAAACUUAGGAAGAGGCAACAGUCUCUUCUUCUAUUCCACACCAAAAUGGAUUUCUUAACCACAAAGGAUCUCGAAGAUCAAGUGAUCUUUAAGCCGGACAUUUGGCACGACCAACAACUUACUUCAACCUAUUCAAAGUGAUCUUCUGCCAUCCUUUCAUUCCCACAGGAUCGUGAAUGGAUGUCAUCAACCAACAAACAAUGACACAAAAAUAACUCCUGUUGCUAGCUCUUCUAAUGUAGUUAGGAAACUAUAUAAGAGAAUAGCUAUUAUAAACUGGAAGAAAAAAAUGGUAAUUGUGAUGCUAUAAUUGACAAGUUAGAUAUGGUUAAUGAUGCUCAUGCAUAUAAGAAAAGAUAUAGAAAAGAAGCUCUCAUAAAAUGGAAGAAGAAGAAAUUAAAGAAUACUUGUCAUACAAAUGUAACAAUAAACAACACAAAUGGAAAACUGUGUGAUACCAUACAAACAGGCCUAUACCACAUAAACGAAAACAUAACUAAUAAAAGUGAAAGACUCAACAAGAGAAAACUUAGAAAUCUAGGUCCACCAAUUGAGAAAUCAAAUACUAUAGACAAGAAAAAUAGCAAUAGAAAAAGGAAAGAAUCUAUUGCAACAAGUAAUUUUAUCUGCUAAUGUUCUUCCAGAGGUCAUGUGUUAUUCUUAUUGUCAUGUUGUGAAAUUUUAUUCAGAAACAUCAAAUUUCUGUUGUCUAGAAGGUCGUAUUGUAUUAUCCAGUAAUGAACUCCUACAAAUCAUGCGAAAUUUAUUGACAGCUAAUUCUGAAGAAGCAAAAUCAUUUAGAACAUAUAUUAGAACAUAUAAUAAUACAUUUGCAUUCACAUCAUAUGGUGUUACAGCUGAUAAAAACCUUACAAGACGAAAUAUGGGUAUUUACACUUGUAGAGUGCAAGGACAGGUAUACCACUUCAUGAACAAUCUACAACCUAAAGAGAAAGAAGCCAAAAACCUUCAAUUAUAUUUUCAUGAUACAAAUAAUGAAAUUGAAAAUCAGUUAACAUCAUCCCCAAGAUUAUCUAAACACUUAAUUGCAACAUGUAUAAGUUAUCUGGUAGAUAAUCUAUAUGCACUUUUUUUUUUAGAAAUUUAAGAGAAAUUCCAUGUUUGAAUGAAUAUAAGAUUGUUCUU